rnacentral:rRNA from 1 species
CGUACACUCCUACGGGAGGCAGCAGUGGGGAAUAUUGCACAAUGGGCGCAAGCCUGAUGCAGCCAUGCCGCGUGUAUGAAGAAGGCCUUCGGGUUGUAAAGUACUUUCAGCGGGGAGGAAGGCAAUACGGUUAAUAACCGUGUUGAUUGACGUUACCCGCAGAAGAAGCACCGGCUAACUCCGUGCCAGCAGCCGCGGUAAUACGGAGGGUGCAAGCGUUAAUCGGAAUUACUGGGCGUAAAGCGCACGCAGGCGGUCUGUCAAGUCGGAUGUGAAAUCCCCGGGCUCAACCUGGGAACUGCAUUCGAAACUGGCAGGCUUGAGUCUUGUAGAGGGGGGUAGAAUUCCAGGUGUAGCGGUGAAAUGCGUAGAGAUCUGGAGGAAUACCGGUGGCGAAGGCGGCCCCCUGGACAAAGACUGACGCUCAGGUGCGAAAGCGUGGGGAGCAAACAGGAUUAGAUACCCGUGUAGUCCC